rnacentral:lncRNA from 1 species
AGCUGCUUAAUAAUUAACUUAUAUAUUCGUAAACAUUUAUACUCGAUAGCAUAGUCGAUAUGUAAAAUGGUGCAUUAUAUGGAUCAAACUGGAACAAAACAACAACUGAAGUUCUAAUUUUGGGAAAUUUAGUAGCGAAUAUAAUCCCUAAACAGCUCAUCGAUUUGUAGCUAUGUUAGCGCUAUUAAAAGUAGACAAUAUUGAACAGUGAUUUGAAGUUAUUAUGCAACUGACAACAAUAUUUUAUCUCAAAAUACCUGUAUAUGAUGAUAUUUUACAAAUAUAUCAGGAUUUUUGGACCAAUUUUAAACUUAGCAAGGCAAAAAGUCUCC